rnacentral:rRNA from 1 species
ACCUUUACUGUUAUCUAACUGGGGUUAUUUUUUUUAAAGAUAUAGGUAUGUAGUAAUAUUAUUCAAGUGAAAAACUACUUUUUUAUUAGAAAUAAUCUGAUAAAAUAGCGGAAAAUUUUAAGAAGUUUGAAAGACAGUUUGGCUGGGGCGGCAACCUCCUAAAAAGUAACGGAGGUGUAUAUUCGAUUUAAGAUAUGCAUAUAGCAGUGUAGGCUGAAUAAUAUACUUAGGUUGGAUUAGUUUACUUACAAGUAAGCUAAGGACAAACGUCUGUUAUAUUGACCCGAUUUUUUUUAUAGCAAAACAAAUCGAUCAACGAAUAAAAGGUACGCUAGGGAUAACAGGCUGAUAAUUUCUUAGAGUUCCUAUCGAAGAGAUUGUUUGGCACCUCGAUGUCGGCUCAUCAUAUCCUGGUGGAGCAUACGCUGCCAAGGGUUCGGCUGNNNNNNNNNNUUAAAACGUCGUGAGACAGUUUGGUCCCUAUCUACUGUACACUUUAAAAAAAAAAUCAGGUUUACUUCAGUACGAGAGGACCGAGGACAACAAGCCAAUUGUUAUAAAUUACUUAACACAUUUAAGUAAGUUUAAAAGCUACGCUUGAUAAUGUAACCAUACGUUAAUAUGGGAACUUUGUGAUUUUUUUUUUUAAAUAGGCCUGUUGACGAGAACAACAAAAUGCGUGUCUGACGAACACUAAGAAACUAGAGGAGUCACUGAAGCAUUAUG